GGGUUGUGAGGUUAAGCGACUAAGCGUACACGGUGGAUGCCCUGGCAGUCAGAGGCGAUGAAGGACGUGCUAAUCUGCGAUAAGCGUCGGUAAGGUGAUAUGAACCGUUAUAACCGGCGAUUUCCGAAUGGGGAAACCCAGUGUGUUUCGACACACUAUCAUUAACUGAAUCCAUAGGUUAAUGAGGCGAACCGGGGAACUGAAACAUCUAAGUACCCCGAGGAAAAGAAAUCAACCGAGAUUCCCCCAGUAGCGGCGAGCGAACGGGGAGCAGCCCAGAGCCUGAAUCAGUGUGUGUGUUAGUGGAAGCGUCUGGAAAGGCGCGCGAUACAGGGUGACAGCCCCGUACACAAAAAUGCACAUGCUGUGAGCUCGAUGAGUAGGGCGGGACACGUGGUAUCCUGUCUGAAUAUGGGGGACCAUCCUCCAAGGCUAAAUACUCCUGACUGACCGAUAGUGAACCAGUACCGUGAGGGAAAGGCGAAAAGAACCCCGGCGAGGGGAGUGAAAAAGAACCUGAAACCGUGUACGUACAAGCAGUGGGAGCCUCUUUAUGGGGUGACUGCGUACCUUUUGUAUAAUGGGUCAGCGACUUAUAUUCUGUAGCAAGGUUAACCGAAUAGGGGAGCCGAAGGGAAACCGAGUCUUAACUGGGCGUUAAGUUGCAGGGUAUAGACCCGAAACCCGGUGAUCUAGCCAUGGGCAGGUUGAAGGUUGGGUAACACUAACUGGAGGACCGAACCGACUAAUGUUGAAAAAUUAGCGGAUGACUUGUGGCUGGGGUGAAAGGCCAAUCAAACCGGGAGAUAGCUGGUUCUCCCCGAAAGCUAUUUAGGUAGCGCCUCGUGAAUUCAUCUCCGGGGGUAGAGCACUGUUUCGGCAAGGGGGUCAUCCCGACUUACCAACCCGAUGCAAACUGCGAAUACCGGAGAAUGUUAUCACGGGAGACACACGGCGGGUGCUAACGUCCGUCGUGAAGAGGGAAACAACCCAGACCGCCAGCUAAGGUCCCAAAGUCAUGGUUAAGUGGGAAACGAUGUGGGAAGGCCCAGACAGCCAGGAUGUUGGCUUAGAAGCAGCCAUCAUUUAAAGAAAGCGUAAUAGCUCACUGGUCGAGUCGGCCUGCGCGGAAGAUGUAACGGGGCUAAACCAUGCACCGAAGCUGCGGCAGCGACGCUUAUGCGUUGUUGGGUAGGGGAGCGUUCUGUAAGCCUGCGAAGGUGUGCUGUGAGGCAUGCUGGAGGUAUCAGAAGUGCGAAUGCUGACAUAAGUAACGAUAAAGCGGGUGAAAAGCCCGCUCGCCGGAAGACCAAGGGUUCCUGUCCAACGUUAAUCGGGGCAGGGUGAGUCGACCCUAAGGCGAGGCCGAAAGGCGUAGUCGAUGGGAAACAGGUUAAUAUUCCUGUACUUGGUGUUACUGCGAAGGGGGACGGAGAAGGCUAUGUUGGCCGGGCGACGGUUGUCCCGGUUUAAGCGUGUAGGCUGGUUUUCCAGGCAAAUCCGGAAAACUAAGGCUGAGGCGUGAUGACGAGGCACUACGGUGCUGAAGCAACAAAUGCCCUGCUUCCAGGAAAAGCCUCUAAGCAUCAGGUAACAUCAAAUCGUACCCCAAACCGACACAGGUGGUCAGGUAGAGAAUACCAAGGCGCUUGAGAGAACUCGGGUGAAGGAACUAGGCAAAAUGGUGCCGUAACUUCGGGAGAAGGCACGCUGAUAUGUAGGUGAAGCGACUUGCUCGUGGAGCUGAAAUCAGUCGAAGAUACCAGCUGGCUGCAACUGUUUAUUAAAAACACAGCACUGUGCAAACACGAAAGUGGACGUAUACGGUGUGACGCCUGCCCGGUGCCGGAAGGUUAAUUGAUGGGGUUAGCGCAAGCGAAGCUCUUGAUCGAAGCCCCGGUAAACGGCGGCCGUAACUAUAACGGUCCUAAGGUAGCGAAAUUCCUUGUCGGGUAAGUUCCGACCUGCACGAAUGGCGUAAUGAUGGCCAGGCUGUCUCCACCCGAGACUCAGUGAAAUUGAACUCGCUGUGAAGAUGCAGUGUACCCGCGGCAAGACGGAAAGACCCCGUGAACCUUUACUAUAGCUUGACACUGAACAUUGAGCCUUGAUGUGUAGGAUAGGUGGGAGGCUUUGAAGUGUGGACGCCAGUCUGCAUGGAGCCGACCUUGAAAUACCACCCUUUAAUGUUUGAUGUUCUAACGUUGACCCGUAAUCCGGGUUGCGGACAGUGUCUGGUGGGUAGUUUGACUGGGGCGGUCUCCUCCUAAAGAGUAACGGAGGAGCACGAAGGUUGGCUAAUCCUGGUCGGACAUCAGGAGGUUAGUGCAAUGGCAUAAGCCAGCUUGACUGCGAGCGUGACGGCGCGAGCAGGUGCGAAAGCAGGUCAUAGUGAUCCGGUGGUUCUGAAUGGAAGGGCCAUCGCUCAACGGAUAAAAGGUACUCCGGGGAUAACAGGCUGAUACCGCCCAAGAGUUCAUAUCGACGGCGGUGUUUGGCACCUCGAUGUCGGCUCAUCACAUCCUGGGGCUGAAGUAGGUCCCAAGGGUAUGGCUGUUCGCCAUUUAAAGUGGUACGCGAGCUGGGUUUAGAACGUCGUGAGACAGUUCGGUCCCUAUCUGCCGUGGGCGCUGGAGAACUGAGGGGGGCUGCUCCUAGUACGAGAGGACCGGAGUGGACGCAUCACUGGUGUUCGGGUUGUCAUGCCAAUGGCACUGCCCGGUAGCUAAAUGCGGAAGAGAUAAGUGCUGAAAGCAUCUAAGCACGAAACUUGCCCCGAGAUGAGUUCUCCCUGACUCCUUGAGAGUCCUGAAGGAACGUUGAAGACGACGACGUUGAUAGGCCGGGUGUGUAAGCGCAGCGAUGCGUUGAGCUAACCGGUACUAAUGAACCGUGAGGCUUAACCUUACAACGCCGAAGGUGUUU
rnacentral:rRNA from 1 species